rnacentral:tRNA from 1 species
AUUAAUGUGGCUUAAUAAUUAAGGCAAGGCACUGAAAAUGCCUAGAUGAGUUUACUAACUCCAAAAACACAUAGGUUUGGUCCUAGGCCAUUAAUU